rnacentral:rRNA from 1 species
GAGUUUGAUCCUGGCUCAGGAUAAACGCUGGCGGCGCACAUAAGACAUGCAAGUCGAACGGAAGUCGUAUAAAAAUAGAUUGAAGAUUUAUCUGAUUGAAGUUUUUAUACAAUGGCUUUAGUGGCGGACUGGUGAGUAACACGUAAGCAACCUGCCUAUUAGAGGGGAACAACAGUUAGAAAUGACUGCUAAUACCGCAUAUGCCAUAAUGGAGACAUCUCCAUAGUGGGAAAGGAGUAAUCCGCUAAUAGAUGGGCUUGCGUCUGAUUAGCUAGUUGGUGGGGUAACGGCCUACCAAGGCGACGAUCAGUAGCCGGACUGAGAGGUUGAACGGCCACAUUGGGACUGAGAUACGGCCCAGACUCCUACGGGAGGCAGCAGUCGGGAAUAUUGCGCAAUGGAGGGAACUCUGACGCAGUGACGCCGCGUGCAGGAAGAAGGUUUUCGGAUUGUAAACUGCUUUAGACAGGGAAGAAAAAAGACAGUACCUGUAGAAUAAGCUCCGGCUAACUACGUGCCAGCAGCCGCGGUAAUACGUAGGGAGCAAGCGUUAUCCGGAUUUAUUGGGUGUAAAGGGUGCGUAGACGGAGAAGCAAGUUGGUUGUGAAAUCCCUCGGCUUAACUGAGGAACUGCAACCAAAACUACUUCCCUUGAGUGCUGGAGGGGAAAGUGGAAUUCCUAGUGUAGCGGUGAAAUGCGUAGAUAUUAGGAGGAACACCAGUGGCGAAGGCGACUUUCUGGACAGUAACUGACGUUGAGGCAUGAAAGUGUGGGGAGCAAACAGGAUUAGAUACCCUGGUAGUCCACACCGUAAACGAUGGAUACUAGGUGUAGGGAAUAUUAAGUUUUCUGUGCCGUCGCAAACGCAGUAAGUAUCCCACCUGGGGAGUACGGCCGCAAGGUUGAAACUCAAAGGAAUUGACGGGGGCCCGCACAAGCAGUGGAGUAUGUGGCUUAAUUCGAAGCAACGCGAAGAACCUUACCAGGGCUUGACAUAUAGAUGAAAGUUCUAGAGAUAGAACCUCUCUUCGGAGCAUCUAUACAGGUGGUGCAUGGUUGUCGUCAGCUCGUGUCGUGAGAUGUUC